rnacentral:SRP_RNA from 1 species
CGAGCUUGAUGCGAGAGUAGACGAGCUGUCCAAGCGGGCCACGGACUUCGCCGCGCGGUUGCUGGAGGUUGAAAGUGGGUUGGAAGUUGCCCGGGAUGGAGAAGCAGCAGACAACACUGGCCGCACUCGCAAGGCAGAGAGUGGUGC